UACGUAGGUGACAAGCGUUGUCCGGAUUUAUUGGGCGUAAAGAGCUCGUAGGCGGUUCCGUAAGUCAGAUGUGAAAACUCAGGGCUCAACCCGGAGACGCCAUCUGAUACUGCGGUGACUGGAGUCUGGUAGGGGAACACGGAAUUCCUGGUGUAGCGGUGAAAUGCGCAGAUAUCAGGAGGAACACCGAUGGCGAAGGCAGUGUUCUGGGCCAGUACUGACGCUGAGGAGCGAAAGCGUGGGGAGCAAACAGG
rnacentral:rRNA from 1 species